rnacentral:lncRNA from 1 species
CCUAAAAAAAAAAAUCUUAUGUGCAGCGCAUGAUAGAGAGGAGGAAGAAGACUCCGAUUCGGAGUCUUCUUCGCUUCCGAUUUCAUCGAGAUCGGAUGGAGGGGAGUCCGGUUAGGUCUAGGAAACCCCUCUAUAAAUAGACUCUUCUCCUCCCUCAGAUUUUCAUCAUGGAUUGUUGAGAGAUUAUCGGGAUUUCUUGAGGUGAUCUCUUUGGGUUGCUGGAUGGGAAGAAGAGUCGCCGGAGCUUUUCUUGACCGUCGGAGCAAGAUAAGCUUUCUCGACCGUCGGAGCAAGGUAAGCUCCCUUUCCUUUUCUUUCUUCUUUAUUUUGGUUGCUCCCUCAUCACCAGCGUGCGACAGUAAGCCACCGGAUUUGGGUUCAAAACAGGGCGGUCCCUAUUUUGAAUUCGUGUUUCCCGCAUGCUGCUGGCAAUAGCCAUCAUUUGGGUAGUUACCGGGGGCCAUGGCUCCACCGCCGUCAGCCGCCUGUUACUGCCACCCAUCGCCAGUCUUUCGUCCAUCAGCCACCAAGAACCACCGCCCUUCCUCCCCUGUUUGGCCAAGCAAAGAAGAAAAAAAGAAGGAGAAAAGAAAAAAAAGAAAGAAAAAUAAAUAGAGAAUUUUCUCUCUCCUACCUCUCUCUCCUCUUUUAUGUCUCUCUAUCCUCUCUCUUUUUCUCUCUCAAUUUGGCCAAUAUACCCCACCAUGGACUUGAUAUGAACUUUUCAAAGAGACCUAGACUCGCUUUAAUAACCGUAUGAUUUGUUAAUCCUAGUCCGAUACUUGCUAGAUAUUUAUAGGUUUGAUCAUCGUUAAUCUCCUAUUGAGUCAUCAUGAUAUUACCCCUAAUGAUCUUGAUUACAGAUUUCUUUUUUAAGGAAUGCGAAGAGUUUCUUUCUCUAAAACUUUCUCUCUUUAUAAUUUUCUCUCUCUAAAAAUCUUAUGGACUAGUGGAGGGUCUAGGCACUUCAGUAAUCUCAAUCUUGAUUGAUCUUAGGAGAAGUCCUGGAUUUAUGUUAUUAGGAUCGUUUAUUUAUAAUUUUUUCAUAUAUGAUUUUUAUAUUUGAUCAUAGUCAUGUAGAGAUGUGACUAUCUGCAUAAGAUGUCCAAUGAAAUAUCUUAUUUUCGAAAUUCGUAAAUCAAAGAGUUUGCUGAUUGCUAUGCUUAGAUCAAUCACCAAUGGAGAUAAGAAUUCCUAUACAUGAUCACCAUUAUAUGUGUUGUUUUCACUGUUGGAUUUGUAUCGUUAAAUUUAUAUCAUUGGAUUUGGAUGGGUGGAUUUAUCAUGUUUGCAAUACAACUGUUUCAUAUAUAAUUUUUAGCAUGAGUAUAUUAUGUAUUGAUUAGAUAUAUGUAUAUCAGUAAUUGACAGUAUAACUACAUGGAUCUGAUAUACUUGUUUUAAUCACAUCUCAAACUGAAAUUGAUAUGACAAAAUCAACAUGAAAUAAAAAGAUAUGGUUUGGACUAAUAUCAACAUGUGGAUAGCCGGCCAGGAGCUUAUAUCAGGGACAGCCUUUAGGAGUUUAUGUUUAGGAUAGCCUAUCAGGAGCUUAUACUUGGGACAGUCUGUCAGGAGUUUAUGUCUAUGAUAGCCGUCAGGAGCUUAUGUCUGGGACAGCCCGUUAGAAGAAUAUGCCUGGGACAGCCACCAUGGGCUUACGUAUGAGAUUUGGGUCAGACCAAAAAUUAAGGCAUGAUCUUGAUUAGUCCAAAGUCGAAAAGAAAAAGAUUAAAAAAUUUAAAACUAUAAAAAGAGGAAUAAAUAACGAGAUAUGAAAUUAUGCUGAUAAAAGAUUUCACUUAUUGACCUAUGAUAACACAUCUCUUUUGACAAGAUAGAUGAUUGACAUAUAUUUGAUAUAUAUUUUGUGGAUGUUUGCAAUAUUCUGGAUAUUAAAUAUAAGAUUUCAUGCUAUAUUACUUAUUAUUAUUUUUAGAUUAUAAUAUUAUAAUGGUGUGAUAUGUGAGAUUCUUACUGGACUGUAAAACUCACACCCCUCCAUUUUUCUUUUUCUUUUUAGAAUUACAUGAUGCUCAUAAUUGGCUAUGGUAUGGAUUU